rnacentral:rRNA from 1 species
UUAAAAAGCUCGUAGUUGGAUUUCUGUCGAGGACGGUCGGUCCACACUUUGUGUGAGUAUCUGAUUCGGCCUGGCAUCCUCCUGGGGUACGUUUCUGCGCUGAUUGCGUGGAGCGGAAUUCAGGACUUUUACUUUGAGGAAAUUAGAGUGUUCACGGCAGGCAAACGCCUUGAAUAUAUUAGCAUGGAAUAAUAAUAUAGGACCCUUGUUCUAUUUUGUUGGUUUC